rnacentral:rRNA from 1 species
AGAUUGAACGCUGGCGGCAUGCUUUACUACAUGCAAGUCGAACGGUAACAGGCCGCAAGGUGCUGACGAGUGGCGAACGGGUGAGUAAUGCAUCGGAACGUGCCCAGUCGUGGGGGGAUAACGCAGCGAAGCUGUGCUAAUACCGCAUACGAUCUAUGGAUGAAAGCGGGGGACCGAAAGGCCUCGCGCGAUUGGAGCGGCCGAUGUCAGAUUAGCUAGGUUGGUUGGGUAAAGGACCCACAAGGCGACGAUCUGUGCUGGUCUGAGACGGACGACCGAGCCACACGUGACUGAGACACGGUCCAGACGUCCUACGGGAGCAGC